rnacentral:rRNA from 2 species
AACGCGAAGAACCUUACCGAGGCUUGACAUCCCGCGCCAUCCUACGAAAGUAGGCUUCCGGGCAACCGGACGCGGAGACAGGUGCUGCAUGGCUGUCGUCAGCUCGUGCCGUGAGGUGUUGGGUUAAGUCCCGCAACGAGCGCAACCCUCGUCGUGUGUUGGUCCGCAAGGAUCUCUCACGCGAGACCGCCGAUGAGAAGUCGGAGGAAGGUGGGGAUGACGUCAAGUCAGCAUGGCCCUUACGUCUCGGGCUACACACGUGCUACAAUGGGUAGGACAACGGGCUGCGAGCUAGUGAUAGUAAGCUAAUCCCUUAAACCUGCCCUCAGUUCGGAUCGAAGGCUGCAACUCGCCUUCGUGAAGUCGGAAUCGCUAGUAAACGCAGAUCAGCUACGCUGCGUUGAAUACGUUCCCGGGCCUUGUA